AGGACGAACGCUGGCGGCGUGCUUAACACAUGCAAGUCGAGCGGUAAGGCCUUUCGGGGUACACGAGCGGCGAACGGGUGAGUAACACGUGGGUGAUCUGCCCUGCACUUCGGGAUAAGCCUGGGAAACUGGGUCUAAUACCGGAUAUGACCUCCUAUCGCAUGGUGGGUGGUGGAAAGAUUUAUCGGUGCAGGAUGGGCCCGCGGCCUAUCAGCUUGUUGGUGGGUAAUGGCCUACCAAGGCGACGACGGGUAGCCGACCUGAGAGGGUGACCGGCCACACUGGGACUGAGACACGGCCCAGACUCCUACGGGAGGCAGCAGUGGGAAUAUUGCACAAUGGGACGAAAGCCUGAUGCAGCGACGCCGCGUGAGGAUGACGGCCUUCGGGUUGUAAACCUCUUUCAGCGAGGACGAAGCGCAAGUGACGGUACCUG
rnacentral:rRNA from 1 species